AGCGUAGACGGAAUGGCAAGUCUGAUGUGAAAGGCCGGGGCUCAACCCCGGGACUGCAUUGGAAACUGCCAAUCUAGAGUACCGAAGGGGUAAGUGGAAUUCCUAGUGUAGCGGUGAAAUGCGUAGAUAUUAGGAGGAACACCAGUGGCGAAGGCGGCUUACUGGACGGUAACUGACGUUGAGGCUCGAAAGCGUGGGGAGCAAACA
rnacentral:rRNA from 1 species